GACGAACGCUGGCGGCGUGCCUAACACAUGCAAGUCGAGCGGACGGACGUGAUUCUCCUUUCUCUGUUGUUAUCGUCGGACGGGUGAGUAACGCGUGGCUCACCUACCUUUUAGACUGGGAUAACUUCUGGACACCGUAGCUUAUACCUGAUAAUCUUUUGAACCGCAUGGUUCAAAAGUGAAUGACGGUCUUUCUGUUACUUAUAGAUGGUUCCGCGCUGCAUUAGCUAGUUGGUAAGGUAGCGGCAAACCAAGGCAACGAUGCAUAGCGGACCUGAGGGGGUGAUCGGCGACACUCGCACUGAGACUCGGUCCAGACUCCUACGGGAGGCAGCAGUAGGGAAUCGUACGAAAUGGGAGAGAGCCUGACGCAGCAGCGGCGCGGGAGUGAGGAGGGUCAUCGGAUUGGAGUACUCUGUUAUUAGGGAAGGAGAUAUGUGUACGUAACUGGGAACAUCGUGACGGUACCUAAACAGAAAGCACCGGCUAACUACGUG
rnacentral:rRNA from 1 species